UACGUAGGUGGCAAGCGUUGUCCGGAUUUAUUGGGUUUAAAGGGUGCGUAGGCGGCCUGUUAAGUCAGGGGUGAAAGACGGUAGCUCAACUAUCGCAGUGCCCUUGAUACUGAUGGGCUUGAAUGGACUAGAGGUAGGCGGAAUGAGACAAGUAGCGGUGAAAUGCAUAGAUAUGUCACAGAACACCAAUUGCGAAGGCAGCUUACUAAAGUGUGAUUGACGCUGAGGCACGAAAGCGUGGGGAUCAAACAGG
rnacentral:rRNA from 1 species